rnacentral:rRNA from 1 species
CUGCAAGUCGAACGCGUCUUGGGGGCAACUCCAAGAUGAGUGGCGAACGGGUGAGUAACACGUGGGUAAUCUCCCCCCGAGUGAGGGAUAAGCCCCCGAAAGGGGGUCUAAUACCGCAUAACACCCUGGGGCAUAAGCUUCCAGGGUCGAAGCCGCAAGGCGCUUGGGGAUGAGCCUGCGUCCUAUUAGCUAGUUGGUAGGGUAACGGCCUACCAAGGUUAUGAUGGGUAGCCGACCUGAGAGGGUGAUCGGCCACACUGGGACUGAGACACGGCCCAGACUCCUACGGGAGGCAGCAGUGAGGAAUCUUGCGCAAUGGGCGAAAGCCUGACGCAGCGACGCCGCGUGGAGGAAGACGGCCUUCGGGUUGUAAACUCCUGUACAGAGGUGAAGAAUCCCCGCAAGGGGUUGACG